rnacentral:rRNA from 1 species
GAUGAACGCUGGCGGCGUGCCUAAUACAUGCAAGUCGAGCGCACAGACGAGGAGCUUGCUCCUUUGACGUUAGCGGCGGACGGGUGAGUAGCACGUGGGUAACCUACCUAUAAGACUGGGAUAACUUCGGGAAGCCGGAGCUAAUACCGUAUAAUAAGUCGAACCACAUGAUUCGAUAGUGAAAUACGGCUUUACUAUUACUUAUAGAUGGACCUGCGCCGUAUUAGAUAGUUGGUAAGGUGACGGCUUACCAAGGCAACGACACGUAGCCGACCUGAGAGUGUGAUGGGACACACUGGAAGUGAGACGCGGCCCAGACCCCCAGGGGAGGGAGGAGUGGAGAAUCUGCCGAAAGAGGGGAGAGCCUGAGGGCGAAACGCCGUGAGAGUGAUGAAGGUCUUCGGAGCGUAACACUCUGUUAUUAGGGAAGCACAAACGUGUAAGUAACUGUGACCCUCUUGACGGUACCUACUCAGAAGACAACGGCUAACUACGG